rnacentral:misc_RNA from 1 species
CGUGGCCUGGAUAUAGUUGGUGUACAAACAGUUAUUAAUUUUGCUUGCCCUCGCGAUAUUACAAGCUAUAUCCAUCGUGUCGGUCGUACUGCUAGAGCUGGGAGAGAAGGAUAUGCUGUCACAUUUGUAACUGAUAAUGAUCGCUCACUCCUAAAGGCUAUUGCAAAGAAAGCAGGUUCACGGUUAAAAAGUCGAAUUGUUGCAGAGCAACCAGUAACUGAUUGGUGCAACUUGAUUGAACAAAUGGAAGAUCAAAUUUCUGAAAUUCUCCAAGAAGAAAGGGAGGAGAAAGCAUUAAGG